AAGCACAAGGGGGAGCCAUUGGCUCCCCCUUCGAAUAGGUCAUGCUUUGUUCUUGUUGUGCUGACGGGUUUGUUGUUGUUUUUGGCAACCCGCCCGGACCAGAGUCCGGUAGUAGUCCCAAGUCGGGACCAGAAGAACAAACGUAUUCCUUUGGACGCUGAUAUUGCCACCACCCUUGCGGGUCCAACCGGUUCUGGAGCUGCCUCGGGGCAGUU
rnacentral:misc_RNA from 1 species